AUUGAACGCUGGCGGCAGGCCUAACACAUGCAAGUCGAGCGAGCGGCGGACGUGAGAGUAAUGUAUGGGGACUGCCCGUUAGAGGGGGAUAACUACUGGAAACGGUAGCUAAUACCGCAUACUAUCGGAUAACCCAUAUGGGAUUAGCUCGUAGGUGAGGUAAUGGCUCACCUAGGCGACGAUCCCUAGCUGGUCUGAGAGGAUGAUCAGCCACAUGGGAACUGAGACACGGCCCAGACUCCUACGGAGGCAGAAGUGGGGAAUAUUGCACAAUGGGCGAAAGCCUGAUGCAGCCAGGCCGCGUGUAUGAAGAAGGCCGUAGGGUUGUAAAGUACUUUCAGUCGGGAGGCGUUACCGACAGAAGAAGCACCGGCUAACUCCGUGCCAGCAGCCGCGGUAAUAC
rnacentral:rRNA from 1 species